CAGAGAACUUGAAGUGAUUGAACUUGAAGCUACGCAAACUGCAAAGGUACACGGUAUAGGCUCCCGCUCCAGCCCUUUCUGUAACUGCCCCAGCUGUGAGCCUUGAGCGUUGUUAUGAGAAGAAAAUCUAGGCUAUUUCUCAUUUGCUCUCAGUUCUUCUUCAGCUGUCAAGACCUCUCUCAUUUAGAACAGCCGUGUGAGAAAACCAGGAGGCAGCAGAAACACAACUGGGAGACUCCUGGCUAAGGUCGAGACGUGUACGUGGGCUCCGUCUCUGUCAUCAGUCAUGAAGCCAAAUUAAACUGAAGCAUAAGCAUUGCCCUCCAUCAUGUUUAUCUGCAAGAUAUUAAUAAAAACACGGUGGCUGUUCAUUCCAUUUUUCACUUUUACUUGUCAUUACCUUGUUGCACCAAUCAAGCAAACAGAUGGUGAUCACUUAAUUGAAGUACAGAGGCUGAGCUUUACACCUAUAUUUCAUAACUGUCUGGACGAUGGAACCAUGUGCACGUUUUACCAACAGCCCUUGAGAGAGGUUAUCUUGCAUGGCUUAAGGUGACUG
rnacentral:lncRNA from 1 species